UACGUAGGUGGCAAGCGUUGUCCGGAUUUAUUGGGUUUAAAGGGUGCGUAGGCGGAUGCUUAAGUCAGAGGUGAAAGACGGCCGCUCAACGGUCGCAGUGCCUUUGAUACUGGGUAUCUUGAGUGCAGACGAGGUCUGUGGAAUGGAUGGUGUAGCGGUGAAAUGCUUAGAUACCAUCCAGAACACCAAUUUGCGAAGGCAGCAGACUAGGGGUGCAACUGACGCUGAGGCACGAAAGUGCGGGGGAUCAAAACAGG
rnacentral:rRNA from 1 species